GCAGUGGUGGUUCAGUAGUAGAAUUCUCGCCUUCCAUGCAAGAGACUCAGGUUCAACUCCCAGCCAGUGUA
rnacentral:tRNA from 1 species